UUUAUCGGAGAGUUUGAUCCUGGCUCAGGACGAACGCUGGCGGCGUGCCUAAUACAUGCAAGUCGAGCGGACAGAUGGGAGCUUGCUCCCUGAUGUUAGCGGCGGACGGGUGAGUAACACGUGGGUAACCUGCCUGUAAGACUGGGAUAACUCCGGGAAACCGGGGCUAAUACCGGAUGGUUGUUUGAACCGCAUGGUUCAGACAUAAAAGGUGGCUUCGGCUACCACUUACAGAUGGACCCGCGGCGCAUUAGCUAGUUGGU
rnacentral:rRNA from 1 species